rnacentral:rRNA from 1 species
UACGAAGGGGGCUAGCGUUGCUCGGAAUGACUGGGCGUAAAGGGCGCGUAGGCGGAUGGCACAGUCAGAUGUGAAAUUCCCGGGCUUAACCUGGGGGCUGCAUUUGAUACGUGUUGUCUUGAGUUCGGAAGAGGGUCGUGGAAUUCCCAGUGUAGAGGUGAAAUGUGUAGAUAUUCGGAAGAACACCAGUGGCGAAGGCAGCGAAUUGGCGCUUUAUUGACGCUCAGGCACGAAAGCAUGGGGAUCAAACAGG